AUUGAACGCUGGCGGCAGGCCUAACACAUGCAAGUCGAGCGAGCGGCGGACGGGUGAGUAAUGUAUGGGGACUGCCCGAUAGAGGGAGAUAACUACUGGAAAAGGUGGCUAAUACCGCAUACGGUCGGAUAACACCGAUGGGAUUAGCUAGUAGGUAAGGUAAUGGCCUACCUAGGCGACGAUCCCUAGCUGGUCUGAGAGGAUGAUCAGCCACACUGGGACUGAGACACGGCCCAGACUCCUACGGAGGCAGCAGUGGGGAAUAUUGCACAAUGGGCGCAAGCCUGAUGCAGCCAUGCCGCGGGUAUGAUGAAGGCCCUAGGGUUGUAAAGUACUUUCAGUCGGGAGGCGUUACCGACAGAAGAAGCACCGGCUAACUCCGUGCCAGCAGCCGCGGUAAUAC
rnacentral:rRNA from 1 species